GCGGAUGCUCAGCUGCCCGCCGCCUUCCCGGGGCGCACCCGGCACGUCCACGUCACUUUUGUACUAAGAUGGGGUCGGAUGGUCCGCCCCGGUUUUGUGCGAUCCCUUUGCAGCGGGAAGCCUUCUGAAGUUUGCACAACACAUCUCCUUCAGGAGGACAUGGACCUCACCUAUGGCAGCUGGGACCAGGGUGAGGCCAGAAGUUUGAAAUCAAGGUGUGAGCGGGGCUGCGCUCCCUGUGAUGGCUCUUGGGCAGUAUCCUUCCACCGUGGACUGGUUGUUUGUGUCCCCCCCAAAUUCAUAUGUUGAAACCUGAUCCUCAAGGUGACGGUAUUCAGAGGUGGGGCCUUUGGGAGGUGAUUAAGUCACGAGGGUGGAGCCCUCAUGAUGUGAUUAGUGCCCUUGUAAAAGAGACCCCCCCAAGACCCCCCUCAUCCUUCCGCCGUGGAAAGACACAGCAAGAAGAUGCCUUCUAUGACUCAGGGAGCAGGUCCUCACCAGACAUGGAAUC